GACGAACGCUGGCGGUGUGCUUCACACAUGCAAGUCGAACGAGGUAGCAAUACCUAGUGGCGGACGGGUGAGUAACGCGUGGGAAUCUGCCUUUAGAUGGGGGAUAACGGGUCGAAAGGACUCGCUAAUACCGCAUAUGACGAAAGUUGAAAGGAGUAAUCCGUCUAAAGAUGAGCCCGCGUCCGAUUAGCUAGUUGGUAGAGUAAAAAGCCUACCAAGGCGACGAUCGGUAGCUGGUCUGAGAGGAUGAUCAGCCACAAUAGGGAACUAGAGACACGGCCCAUACUCCUACGGGAGGCAGCAGUGGGGAAUUUUACGCAAUGGGGGAAACCCUGACGUAGCGACACCGCGUGAGCGAAGAAGCCCUGGGGUGUAAAAGGCUCUGUCAGCUGGACGAAAAAAAUAGA
rnacentral:rRNA from 1 species